CUCUUCAACAUGUGUGUGAAGUGUCUUGUUCUAAAUCCACUCUGAUCCUGUAUUUGAUCAUGUCUAUAAACCCCUCUAUUUCAGCCCUGCUCAGAACAGGCUGUUUCUGUGUCUGUACCUUUAAAUAUGUAAAUGAGCUGUGUCUGACCACGCCCCCUCUCUGGAAGGGGCUUGGGUGUACUCGGUCUUUCUCGCUCCAUGUCCUAUUGUUUACGGUGAGAAGGCAGACUCAGAGGGCAGAACAAACACCUAGCUGUGGGAGUGUCACCCACCUGGGGGAGGGGCUACUGCCCUUUGUGAUGUCAUGAAGGGAACAUCUCCAAACGGCCAGAAGUUGCUCACACAUUUUCUGAAAAGUGGAGCAGGCAGAAGACGGAGAGGAUGGACUUUUCUCAUCAUUGGGGGGUUUGUAGACGGACUAGAGACACAUGUUAGAGUUAGAGGAACAUGGGGAGGAGGAUUUUAAAUAUGUGACCUUUAAAGUUUAAAGACAUGUUUGUGUUACAGUCGGACUGGGUAGUUUGCUGUGAUUAUAAAAAGUUUUUGAUGUUGAAGAAUUUUGAAAGACUGAAAGGACUGACAGACUGUAAAGAGAGAGUAUGAAGAUGGAUUUAUAAAUCUGCUGAAAACAUUUCCUGUAUCAUUUCAAAACGUUUCUGUGAGUGUGGAGCAGAAAGAAGUGUAAACUCUGCUUCAGGGUGGAUUUAUUAUUCCUCGUUUCAUUUCUGUGACUAAUGUGAUGCUACUGCUUAAUAAAGCCACUAAACACAC